UAAUUUUAAUAUUAUUAUUGAAAUGAAUUAUUUAUUUUUAUUAAAAAAAUUAUUUAUAUUAUUAAAAAUUUUAGUAAAUUUUAUUUAAAUUAAAUUUAAAAUUAUAAUUAAUAAUUACUGAAAAGUAAAUAUUUUAUUUUUUAAAAAGUAUAUUUAAUUAGUAGUACCUUUUGUAUCAGGGUUUAAUGAAUAUUUUUUUUUAAAAUAUAUUUUCCCGAAUAUAAAUGAUUUAUUUAAUUAUUUUUUACAUGUAACAAAUGUUUAAAAAUAAUUUAAUUGGAAUGAAAAGUUAAUCGUUUUUAUAGAUUUCUGGUUUUUUUAUAAAUAAAUUUAAUUUAUUAAUUUAUAGUUAAUAUUUAAUUUUUUAAGUAUUUAAUUAAAAAUUUAUAAUGUUUAUAAAGAUAAUUUUAUAAAUAUUUAAUAUAAAGUUUAAUUUAAAAUUGUACUAGGAUUAAUAUUUUCUUUUUAAAAUAUGUUUUAAUAAAUGUUUUUUUAUUAUUUUUUAUUUUUCUAUUAUUUAAAUUUAUAUAAAAAUUUUUAAUUUAAUUUUUAAAUUUUAUUAAUAAUUUUAGAAUUAGUAUAUAAUAAAAUUUAAAAAUUUAUUUUAAUUUAAAUUAAGGAAUUCGGCAAAAUAAAUUUUCGCCUGUUUAUCAAAAACAUGUUUUUUUGAAAUUAUAAUUUAAAAUUUAAUCUGCUCACUGAUAAAUAUUAAAGAGCCGCAGUAUUUUGACUGUGCAAAGGUAGCAUAAUAAAUAGUUUUUUAAUUGAUAACUGGAAUGAAAGAUUGGAUGAAAAAUUGACUGUCUUCAAUUUUAUUUUUAGAAUUUAAUUUUUUAGUUAAAAAGCUAAAAUUUUUUUAUAAGACGAGAAGACCCUAUAGAUUUUUAUUUUAUUUUAUUUAAUUUAUGUUUAUUAUUAAUUAAUUAAUUUUAAUAAAAUUUUAUUGGGGUGAUAUUAAAAUAUAAAUAACUUUUAAAAUUAUGAAUUAUUAAUAUGUAAAUUUUUGAUCCUUUUUUUUGAUUAAUAGAUUAAAUUACCUUAGGGAUAACAGCGUAAUUUAACUGGAAAGUUCUUAUUGAAAGUUAAGUUUGCGACCUCGAUGUUGAAUUAAAAUAAUUAAUGGGAGUAGAAGAUCAUUUAAUUAGUCUGUUCGACUAUUAAAAUUUUACAUGAUUUGAGUUCAGACCGGCGUGAGCCAGGUCAGUUUCUAUCUUUAAAUAAAUAUGAUUAAUUUAGUACGAAAGGAUUAAUUAAUUAAAUAAUAUUUUUUUAUUUUGAAUUAAAUU
rnacentral:rRNA from 1 species